rnacentral:pre_miRNA from 1 species
UUUUUAGUAUAAAUAUGCUCCAUGUAAUAUUUGGGACAUACUUAUACUAAAA